ACGUAGGGGGCGAGCGUUGUCCGGAUUUACUGGGCGUAAAGAGCGCGUAGGCGGCUAGUUAAGUGAGAAGUGAAAUCUCCAGGGCUCAACCCGGAAACUGCUUUUCAUACUGGCCAGCUGGAGGGACGCAGGGGUGACUGGAAUUCCCGGUGUAGUGGUGGAAUGCGUAGAGAUCGGGAGGAACACCAGAGGCGCAAGCGGGUGCCUGGGCGACGACUGACACUGAGGGACGAAAGCGUGGGGAGCGAACGG
rnacentral:rRNA from 1 species